GCCAGUAUGGUAUAGUAGUUUGAGCGUUGGACUUUGACUCUGGAGACGAGGGUUCAAAUCCCCAUUCAGCCA